UACGGAGGAUGCAAGCGUUAUCCGGAAUUAUUGGGCGUAAAGCGUCCGUAGGUGGCUUUACAAGUCAGCUGUUAAAGCGUGGAGCUUAACUCCAUAAAGGCAGUUGAAACUGUGAGGCUAGAGUGCGGUAGGGGUAAGGGGAAUUCCCAGUGUAGCGGUGAAAUGCGUAGAUAUUGGGAAGAACACCGGUGGCGAAAGCGCCUUGCUGGACCUGCACUGACACUGAGACGCGAAAGCGUGGGUAGCAAACAGG
rnacentral:rRNA from 1 species